AGAAUCAACGCUGGCGGCGCGCUUAACACAUGCAAGUCGCACGAGAAAGUGGAGCAAUCCAUGAGUAAAGUGGCGUACGGGUGAGUAACACGUGGAUCAUCUACCUCUUAGUGGGGAAUAACCCUGGGAAACCGGGGCUAAUACCGCAUAAGCCUGUGAAGGGAAAGCAGAAAUGCGCUGAGAGAGGAGUCCGCGGCCGAUUAGCUAGUUGGUAGGGUAAUGGCCUACCAAGGCAAUGAUCGGUA
rnacentral:rRNA from 1 species